AGAAGAAAUGCCGCAUCCAAGCGAGUGAGCGAGUUAGUGAGAGAGGGAAGCACUGCGACAACCCUACGUUCUUUGUUAAUGCUUGUAAAAUAUCUACAGAGGCAACGCCUGAAGGUUGUAACACAAGGAAGAGUUCGGAGCCGCAUUUGAAGUUCUUCAUUCUUCUUCGUGAGAAGAAAAGGACAAGCAAAUGGCUGAAAGCAAUCAAUCGAGGAACAGUAAAAGAAAACGGUUCCGUGGACCAUUCUCGCCAGUGGGAACCUAAAUCCAGGCGUAUUUAAGUUUGCAGCCGACAUUUUAUUACUGGGAAGAAAGCGAAAGUGAUGAUCUGCCCGCCGUGAUAUUUACGUCAUCAGCCAUUGUGGUGUGAUCCGGGAAUAUAACACUUGCUUUGACACACACCGCUUCCCGGGAAAGUCCCGGACAAUAUACUAAGACGCGACCCGUUAAAUGUCCGCAUAAUCUCCGUUUCAAUCGACCCGAGAAAUUGCUUCCAUAUACAAGGGCUGUCAGUUAAAAUACUGGGAUUUAAACGGUGUUCAGGUGUAUGUGAAAGGAAUGUGAAUUGAAUUGAAAAGGAAGUUUCGCAUAUUUUGAACUAUAAUGCACAUUUUAAAUCCUUUAUUUUUCCCCCAAAUUGACAGUGUGAUUGAGUAUGUAUGUAACAUACUGUCCAUCAAAAACUCAUUGUCUGCCACUGAAACAAUCAAAUGCGAACCCUUCCCGUUCAAAUAAAUUGGACGUUUAUCCCCAUCAAUGACAAGUAAUAAGCUUACAUGCAGUAUUUAAUUGUACAUCCUUUCUAAUGAGAUGUGCUGUUCCUACCUUAGGGUCGCUGGCUUUGUCCUGCUGGUAGUGGAGUUCCAGGAUCCAAAUGGAGGGAAUGAUACUAAUAAGAAAAAGAAAGAUUGGAGGGGAAAACCUGAAAGAAAAGAUGCAGAAAAAACUCCAUGAGAGCACAAAAUGGGAACAAAUGAUGUCAUGUAAACAUUCACCCAACUAGAUUGUUUAGUACUACAAGCUACUUGAAAGUGAGGGGCCAUUAUCUCGUAACCCUGUACCUCCUGUUAUACGCUCAUAAUUUAUUCUGAUUGAUUUCAAUGCUCCGCUUCACAUUAAAUAGUAUAAAAUGGAGAUGAAGCAAAUUGAAGGUCCAUUUCAAUAUUCCUGUCAAUCAUUAAGUAGAGUCUUGGACAAGCUCCCGGAAAAGCUUUUGGCGGUCACAUUCAACCAUUCACACUGAAGUCUUUCCUCAUUGAACUUUCAUGCAUGUUUAUGACUUGAGGAAGUUACUGCAGCCAGAGGAACCUUCCUCUGCGAGCGCAAGUGUCAAGCACAAAUCCCAAAAUAGGUCCGAGGUCCAAUUUAGGGCAUUAUUCUCAUACUCACAAAGCCUCGAAAUGCAUACUGUUAAUUAGUGAACAAUGAAUUCAUGAAAUAUCAUUAAAACCAUAAGAACAGGAGGAAGAUUGUUGAUAUGUUUAUUCAGUUUGAGUAGUACUAUACCAAAAUUACUGUGUGGUCAUCAGGAGUGUAGCAAUAUAUUGUGAUGAUGAUGCGAUAUAUCGUGAUACUUUGUAUCCCGAUAGGUUAUCGAAAUGCUCUAGUCAAGAACUAAACAUCUAUUUAAAAAGGGGUCACUGUUUAAAAGGAACCAACAAGUUGCUACAAUUUUUUGUACAAGUGUCUAUGUUAAAGAAAGAAAAUCAUGGAAAAUAGUGUUUUUUUAACAAGAAUGCCAAAUUUGA